rnacentral:rRNA from 1 species
UACGUAGGCAGCAAGCGUUGUUCGGAAUUACUGGGCGUAAAGAGUGUGUAGGCGGUGCGCUAAGUUCGGUGUGAAAUCUCCCGGCUCAACUGGGAGGGUGCGCCGAAAACUGGAGUGCUGGAGCGCGGGAGAGGAAAGCGGAAUUCCUGGUGUAGCGGUGAAAUGCAUAGAUAUCAGGAGGAACACCGGCGGUGUAGACGGCUUUCUGGACCGUAGCUGACGCUGAGACACGAAAGCGUGGGUAGCAAACAGG